UAAACUAGGAUUAGAUACCCUAUUAUUAUUAGAGGUAAAGUGUAAGUUCAGAUUAGUAUUAGUUAUAUUCUUGAAAAUUAAAAAUUUUGGCGGUGUUUUAGUCUAUUCAGAGGAACCUAUCCUAUAAUUGAUACUCCACGAUUUAUUUUACUUAUUUUAGAAGCUUGUAUAUCAUCGUUAAUGGGAAAUUUUAUUAGAAUUAAUUUUCUUAAUAUAAUAUUAUAUAAUAGUUCAGAUCAAGGUGCAGUUUAUGGGUGAGUAGAGAUGGGUUACAAUGUAUUUAUUUAUUAGAUAGUUAAUUGAAAAUUUACUUGAAAUUGGAUUUGAUAGUAAUUUAAUUAAAAUUACUUAAAUGAUUUUAGCUCUAGAACAUGUACAUAUCGCCCGUCGCUUUCAUUUUAGUUGAAAUAAGUCGUAACAAAGUAGGUGUACUGGAAAGUGCAUCUAGAAAGAUCAAAUUAUAGUUUAUUAGAAUAUUUUAUUUACAUUAAAAUGGUAUUUGUUAAUUCAAUUUAAUGAUAUAUAUUAAUUUAUUAAUAUUGUUUAUUUUUGGUUUUAUUGAAAUAUCAAUGAUUUUAUUAAUUGUAUUGAAUAAAUUGUUUUAAUUAUAGUUAAAUAGUACUGUAAAGGUUGAUGUUAAAAUUGAAUAAAGAAGAAAUUGUAUUUUGUACCUUGUGUAUCAGGGUUUACUAAUAAUUAAUUUUAUAUUAAAUUUUUCUCGAAACUUAAAGAGCUAAGGAUAUAUUUAUUUUUUUGUUUUAAAAAGAAUUAUAAUUUAUUUUUGGUAAUGAAAUGUUAUUCGUUUUGGGUUAUAUCUAGUUUCUGAAUAAAUUAAUUUAAUUAAGUUUAAUAUAAUAUUUUUUUGGUUUUUGCUGGAUUAAUAUUGUUUUAAAUUUAAAUUUAAGGGGACUAGCUUUUAAAUUAAUGUAUCUAAUAAUUUUAAUUGAUUAAAUAAUUGUAGGAUUAGAAGUUUCUAUCAUAUAUUGUUUUAUAACUGUUCUUUUUAUUUAUUUAUUUAUAUAUUAUUGAUAUUUUCUAUUUGGAUUAUCAAUUUAAUCUUGAAUUUGAAGUAAUAAUGGUGAAAUUAGUAUAUUUAUUUUUAUGUUAUAAAUUAAUUUUAAGGUUAAUUAAAGGAAUUCGGCAAAUUUAAUUCUCGCCUGUUUAAUAAAAACAUGUCUUUUUGAUUAUUAUUUAAAGUCUAGUCUGCCCACUGAUUAAUUGAAUGGCUGCGGUAUUUUGACCGUACGAAGGUAGCAUAAUCAUUAGUUUCUUAAUUAGGAACUAGUAUGAAAGGCUGAACGAGGAAUUAUCUGUCUCUAGUUAAUUUAAUUAGAAAUUUAUUUUUAAGUUAAAAAGCUUAAAUUUUUUUAAAAGACGAGAAGACCCUAUAGAGUUUAAUUUAUGUUUUUGAGAUUAAAUUAAGUAUUCUUUUUUUUCUUGGUAAUUAUAAAUUUUAUUGGGGUGAUAGGAAAAUUAAAGUAACUUUUCUUUUUUAAUUACAUUGAUUUAUGAUUAAUUGAUCCAUUAAUAAUGAUUACAAGAUUAAAUUACCUUAGGGAUAACAGCGUUAUUUUUCUUGGGAGUUCAUAUCUAUAGAAAAGUUUGCGACCUCGAUGUUGGAUUAAAAUUGAGCUUGGCGUAGAAGUUAAGUUUUCUUGGUCUGUUCGACCAUAAAAAUUUUACAUGAUCUGAGUUCAAACCGGAGAU
rnacentral:rRNA from 1 species